rnacentral:rRNA from 1 species
UACGUAGGGUGCAAGCGUUAAUCGGAAUUACUGGGCGUAAAGAGUGCGUAGGCGGGGAUAUAAGUCAGAUGUGAAAGCCCUGAGCUUAACUUAGGAAUAGCAUUUGAUACUGUAUGAUCUAGAGUUAGUUAGAGGGUGGUAGAAUUCCAAGUGUAGCAGUGAAAUGCGUAGAUAUUUGGAGGAAUACCGAUGGCGAAGGCAGCCACCUGGGACAUAACUGACGCUGAGGCACGAAAGCGUGGGGAGCGAACAGG